ACCUUGGGUCUGGGCUGGCCGGUCCGCCUCACCGCGAGUACUGGUCCGGCUGGACCUUUCCUUCUGGGGAACCCCAUGGCCUUCACUGGCUGUGGGGGGAACCAGGACUUUUACUGUGAAAAAAUUAGAGUGUUCAAAGCAGGCCUUUGCUCGGAUACAUUAGCAUGGAAUAAUAGAAUAGGACGUGCGGUUCUAUUUUGUUGGUUUCUAGGACCGCCGUAAUGAUUAAUAGGGAUAGUCGGGGGCGUCAGUAUUCAGCUGUCAGAGGUGAAAUUCUUGGAUUUGCUGAAGACUAACUACUGCGAAAGCAUUCGCCAAGGAUGUUUUCAUUAAUCAGGGAACGAAAGUUAGGGGAUCGAAGACGAUCAGAUACCGUCGUAGUCUUAACCAUAAACUAUGCCGACUAGGGAUCGGGCGGCGUUUCUUUUAUGACCCGCUCGGCACCUUACGAGAAAUCAAAGUUUUUGGGUUCUGGGGGGAGUAUGGUCGCAAGGCUGAAACUUAAAGAAAUUGACG
rnacentral:rRNA from 1 species